rnacentral:rRNA from 1 species
CACGGGGGGAGCAAGCGUUGUUCGGAAUCACUGGGCGUAAAGGGCGUGUAGGCGGUCAGAUAAGUGGAAUGUGAAAUGCCCCGGCUCACCCGGGGACCGGCAUCCCAAACUGUCUGGCUUGAGUAUGGGAGAGGAUGAGGGAAUUCCUGGUGUAGCGGUGAAAUGCGUAGAUAUCAGGAGGAACACCGGUGGCGAAGGCGCUCAUCUGGCCCAAUACUGACGCUGAUGCGCGAAAGCUAGGGGAGCAAACGGG